UACGAAGGGUGCUAGCGUUGUUCGGAUUUACUGGGCGUAAAGGGUCCGUAGGCGGUGUAGCGAGUCGAUAGUGAAAUCUCUGGGCUUAACCCAGAGGCUGCUAACGAAACUGCUGUGCUAGAGUGUGAGAGAGGCGAGUGGAAUUACGGGUGUAGCGGUGAAAUGCGUAGAUAUCCGGAGGAACAUCCGAGGCGAAGGCGGCUCGCUGGAUCACAACUGACGCUGAGGCACGAAAGCUAGGGGAGCAAACAGG
rnacentral:rRNA from 1 species